CACGAGACCAAUCGAAGAGUUGACUGUACUUGUUGACUUGAAUACUAAACAAGUGGUGGAGAUUUCAGAUAAGGGCAGCAGCAUACCGAUCCAAAAGCCGUAGCCCAGAACCUCAUGAUGAACUGAGACUGCAUAAAAAGGGCUGUAAGUAUAAAUUACUUACUGAGGGUAGCACUGGAUUUCAAUAAUGUUGUGUUUAUGUUUUAUUUUAAUUGGAUGCGUGUGAUUGAUUAUUGCAUACUGUUAAUAAUCAACCUAUUAAUAUUGGGCGCAACGUCUCCCAAAGGUUCAGGAUGGUAAAUGUGCCUGAAACCGGAAACAAUAAUAAUCACAUUGAUUGGAACGGCUUUCAAAGUACUAGAGGAGGGAGGUCUCCGAUAGUGCGAAAACAAGUUAAUUAAAAUGUAAUGUAGAGGGAACGGCCUCGAGAAAGACGCUGACCGGGGGAACGGCCCUUACAAGAGAGGAGUGCAAUCACUAUAUAAACUGUUAAACUUUGCAUAAAAACUAUCACCACAUCAUUAUGUCAUAUCUGUGCCUUAAAUAAUGCAUAAACCAUGAUGUUGUUGAAUGACAGUUAGCUCACUUAUGGAACUAUGGGAUUGUGGCGGUAACCACCUUCUCAUAGAUGUUUGCGCAGGUACUGAAGAUUAUGGAUUGGAUUAACUGCUAGCUUAAGAGAUUUAAAGCUGUGUAGUUAGGAUUUUAGUACUUUGUACUCGUAGAUAUUUGUACCAUUUGCUUGUAAUAUGACUAGACAUUUACUUGUAAUUAAUAAGUUCCAUGCAUGCUUUAGUGUCACAUGUGACAUAUGUUUCUUUGUAAAUAGUGUAAAGACUUUUAACGUAUUUUCUAGAAGAUGUCAGUUAAAGCUCUGAAUAUAUCGUAAGGGAAUUGUCCCUAUCGGUGAUGUUUAAAAAAAAAGGAUAUUCGUAUUUUUCCGCUGCCAGAUUUAUCAACUCUGAAUGGUUAAUGACACGUAAUUAUCCAGAUAUAAUUACUUA